rfam:Melissococcus plutonius ATCC 35311 DNA, complete genome.
GGAAGGUUGGCAGAGUGGUAAUGCACCGGACUCGAAAUCCGGCGAACCGAUAAUAUCGGCGCGCAGGUUCAAAUCCUGUACCUUCCU